AUUAGGCUAACUAUAUAUUACAAAUUGCAAAUGAUAUGCUCCCAUUAUGCAGAUGAUUGCAGUGGCUAAUAUUGAUUUUUCCUUAAUUGAUUCAGAGAGGGCAAAGAUGCCAAUUUCCAAGUUGGUUUAAGAUCUCUAAAGACAACAAUUAUCUGCAAAGUUGUGAAGUUUGUUUAAUGGUGGGAUACAAAAUUCUGUGUUGGGCAAGAAGCAUAGACAACCACAAAAUUUCAAGGGUGCUUAGAGAUGAUAACCCAGAAUGGAAGUGGUGACCAGAUGGUGUUUGGUGAAAUUUCUUAUGAGUUCUAGAAGCCAUAAUACAUGGAGAGUCGUAAGGAGGAAGAUAGAUUGCUUGCAGCCUUGCAAUGUUGUUGACUACAAGUAUUCUCUACAUGGGCUAUUAGUGGAUUUUGAUGAGUACCUUCGCAUAUUAUAUGAGGAAAUGAGGACAAGAAGACAAACAUCUCACGAGUUUCACAUACACAGUUGCAGAACCAGUUCAUAAACCAUAGAAAUAUGGACUAUGCAAAUGGACAAAUGUCCAUGUACAAUGAUAGAUUUGCUAAGAAGUGUUCAUAAAAGAAAUAUUCAACUUG